rnacentral:rRNA from 1 species
ACUCCUACGGGAGGCAGCAGUGGGGAAUAUUGCGCAAUGGCCGCAAGGCUGACGCAGCGACGCCGCGUGGGGGAUGAAGCAUUUCGGUGUGUAAACCCCUGUUGCCCGGGACGAACCUCCCCUUUCGAGGGGACUGACGGUACCGGGUGAGGAAGCACCGGCUAACUCCGUGCCAGCAGCCGCGGUAAUACGGAGGGUGCGAGCGUUGUCCGGAAUCACUGGGCGUAAAGGGCGCGUAGGCGGUGACUUAAGCGUGUGGUGAAAGCCCGGGGCUCAACCCCGGGUCGGCCGUGCGAACUGGGUCACUUGAGCACUGUAGAGGCAGGUGGAAUUCCGGGUGUAGCGGUGGAAUGCGUAGAGAUCCGGAAGAACACCAGUGGCGAAGGCGGCCUGCUGGGCAGUAGCUGACGCUGAGGCGCGACAGCGUGGGGAGCAAACAGGAUUAGAUACCCUGGUAGUCCACGCCGUAAACGAUGGGCACUAGGUGCUUGGGGGAACGACCCCCCGAGUGCCGGCGCUAACGCAUUAAGUGCCCCGCCUGGGGAGUACGGCCGCAAGGCUGAAACUCAAAUGAAUUGACGG